rnacentral:misc_RNA from 1 species
UCUUCUUCCUCAAUGAUGCUGAACAUGUCGCUAGACUUGAUUCAUCAACCUCAUUAGAACUACUUAUUUUUUCAUCUACAGCUUCCUCUUCUUCCUCAGUGGCUUCAUCCUCUUUAUCAUUAUCAGACCAACUAAUUAUUUCAUCUUCUUCCUCAGUGAAGCUCAACAUUUCACUAGUUUCAUCAACCUCAGCUUCCUCUUCUUGCUCAAUG